UUUUUCAAAUGGGAAAGGGCUUAAGAGUUGAAGGGAUCAGGGAGGGAUGAGAGGGGAAGAGGACAAAAAAAGAAUUGAGAUGUAUUAUGCACAUGUGUCAACCCCCCAUGAUAAAUGUAAUCAUUAUAUACUGUAAACAUGUACUAAUAAAAAUACAUUAAUUAAAAAACUCACUCAGGGAAAAUCUGAAUGAACCCUUGCUAGCUUUACCAUUAAUAACACCUGUAACACAUGAUUACUUUGAUUUCUUGUUUGUUUACUUGAGACAGGGUCUUACUGUAAUCCAGAGUGACUUUGACCUUGCUAUGUAGCCCAGGCUGGCUUCAACCUUGCAACCCUCCUGCCUUGGCAUCUCGAGUCCUAGGACUACAAACUCACAUAACCAUUCCCCAAGAUAACAACUGCACUAAGAUCUUUAUAGUAUUGUAUUUAUUUGUUUUGUUCGUAUGUGUUUGCCGCACAUGCUAUUUACAUUCCUUGUAUAGCGUUAGCACAUGUAUGUGGCUUCUUCAUUCCCUUUUUAUUCCCUUUUCUUCUCUUCCCUUCCCCUUCCCUCCAUCUCCUGAUCCCUUUUUGAUUUCAGAAAAACCUAUAGUAUCGCUCUACUUCCUAUUAUCUUUUAUUUUGCUCUUUAUUUAUAAUUUGGAUUUCUCAUGUAUGAGAAACAUGAUAUUUAAGCUUUUUAAAACAGGAAAUUUGAAGAAGAAGGCUUAUCUGGCUCAGACUGGUUGAAACCAUGUCUAUCUGCAGGAAGAACAGGCAACAUUCUGAUGUCAGAGGGCAAAACCUGCCUUCAGAGGAAGAUGCUCAACAGCCCAUGGUGUGUAAGCCAAUGUCCACACUUUAUGAGCAGAGAGCUAAGAUGGACCCCGAGGGUGCUGGACACAACAGCAGGAAAUAGGGGUGAGGAGGAAAAACCGGACCAGGGAGAGCUGCCUGCUGUCUGGACACUCCUUGAAGGCCCUCGGGACUCCCCAGGCCCCAGGGGAAAGAUCCUGGAGCAUUACAGGUGUGCAGGGAAUGUUAGUUCUUUUCUCUUGCUCUGGUUCUCCAGGAGUCAGAUUUUAAGAAGGAACAAGUGGCGAGGUUUGGCCAAGGGUGGCACAGUCCUCGCCCUUUUGCAGCUAUGGCAGGGAAAAUUCUGAAUUGCUCUAUACACUGGGGCAGUAGAUGUCCUGCCUCCCUGCAGCCAGGGAACCUCAUCUCUCGGGGGAGAGGCCUAUCUUCACCAUCGGAAGCAGUGGCUUCCAUUCCCUCACUUUUAGAGAUAAUCUCAGUUUUGUUUGUUUCUUUGUUUUCUUGUAAGAGCCAAGAACUCUCAAAGGUCCUUCUUGGGCUUUUUCCAGGAGUGCCUUUGAAACACAAAAAAAUUCUUAAAAUUCUUACACCUGAACACAGAGGGUCCUAAACUGCUAAACAAAAGGCUACAUUCCCUUCCAGAGAGGAAAAAAGG
rnacentral:lncRNA from 1 species